UUUAACUGAGCGUUCAGUUACUUGACGUAGACCCGAAACCGGGCGACCUACCCAUGAGCAGGAUGAAGCGAAAGUAAAAUUUCGUGGAGGUCCGAACCCACGAGCGUUGAAAAGCUCGGGGAUGACUUGUGGGUAGCGGUGAAAUUCCAAUCGAGCCCGGAGAUAGCUGGUUCUCCCCGAAAUAGCUUUAGGGCUAGCCUCAAGGUGAGAGAUACGGAGGUAGAGCACUGAAUGUCCUAGGGGGUAUUGCACCUACCGAAGACUAUCAAACUCCGAAUGCCGUCAUCUUAUACUUGGGAGUCAGACUGUGGGUGAUAAGAUUCAUAGUCGAAAGGGCAACAGCCCAGAUCGUCAGCUAAGGUCCCUAAAUGUAAGUUAAGUGGUAAAGGAUGUGGGAUUGCACAGACAACCAGGAUGUUGGCUUAGAAGCAGCCACUCAUUCAAAGAGUGCGUAAUAGCUCACUGGUCGAGUGAUCCUGCGCCGAAGAUUUCCGGGGCUAAAACUUACUACCGAAGCUACGGCAUCAGUAAUGAUGGGUAGGGGAGCUUCCCAUACGGGUUGAAGCAUGACCGUAAGGACAUGUGGACAGUAUGGGAGUGAGAAUGUUGGCAUGAGUAGCGAGAUGUGGGUGAGAAUCCCACAGGCCGUAAACCCAAGGUUUCCAGGGGAAGGUUCGUCCGCCCUGGGUUAGUCGGGACCUAAGCUGAGGCCGAAAGGCGUAGGUGAUGGACAACAGGUUGAUAUUCCUGUACUACCGAUAACCGUUUGAGAGAAGGGAUGACACAGUAGGAUAAGCUAAGCACACUGUUGGUUAUGUGUGCCCAAGCAUUGAGGCAGUCAAAGUAGGCAAAUCCGCUUUGAUAAUGCUAGGAUGUGAUGGGGAGCGAAAUUUAGUAGCGAAGUAGCUGAUUUCACACUGUCAAGAAAAG
rnacentral:rRNA from 1 species